ACAGCAGUGGUCAGUCGAGUCACAAAUCCACUCAAAUAAUCCACAUGAAAGAAUGUUUCGCACGGUGAAGUCUAAUCGCGCAAACGAACAAACUAAUCCCCGUGGGUGCAACUUUUCCCCAGCCUUGUCGUAUCUCAGCGGAACCAAAGACACAAUUUGGUGCUUCGUAAUGUUCGUAGAUUCGCCCGCCAUAUGCGUGCGUGCAUGCAUGCAUGCAUGAGUACUAAUUGCACUCCCAAUUCCCAGUGGUUCAGUGGAUGCAGCUCGAGAGUACUCGAUAUAAGCCAUUAAUCUUCGACACAUUCCGCGAACCUCGCAAAUAUGACGAGGAUGAUUUCAAGGGGAGCCUCUCCCAGAAAGAACCUCCUCGUUCACAGGAAGAGUACCCUUUUGUUUCUUGUAUUUGAAGACAAGUACACAACAAGAUUGAUGAGAUGUACAUAAAAACAUUAAAAUAUUAGAAGAAAACAGUUCAUCUAUUUCCCAAAGAAACAACACGUAGAAAGCAAGCAUCUCUGUGUCCUGUUUCUAUCAACAGCAGCGUCAAGACACAACGUGAAAACAUCACGCACUAGUCCAAUAAUUGCAGUAGAAGAAAGAACAUCAUCAGCUGAUCUCUCUCUCUUCGUACCUUCCUAUCGUUUGUUGUUGAAUCCAUCAAUAAAAAAGCUACUUUUAUAGAUCACUAUCUACGACUGCAGUUGAUUUGGUCGCGCCGGAAAUUUCCCUCGAAUCUUAGGUCUCUGGAUCACAGCUUCGGUGCAGGGGGUGCGCGGCUUCGCUGAAGGAUCCCAACCUCUCCGCUUUCUGGUAGUGGCUGCGAUCGUAGAUGGUUAACAAAGUCCUCGUUUCUGGGCGCGCGGGCUCUGCUCCCGUAGUAUUAUCCCCUCGUCGGUGUUGCGCUCGAGGGUUUGCAGGACUUAAUUAAAGCUGCGUUGUUUAAGGCGUAAAUUAGUCGAGGCUCGGGCGGUUGGGUUGACCCCAGAGGCAUUAUAUUCGGCGGCGGGAAUAGGAGGCAGCAGCACCUCCUCGCCUCCAUACGACUGUCGUUUCUCUGUUCCCCGUCUCCCUAGCUUUUGAAUUCGGCGUUGGGCUUCGAGAACCUCGAAUGCGGCGGCGAGGAAGGUUGGGAGAGCAAGCGUGCAGGUUUAGGAUAAGAAAGGUGUGAUCUUUUCGGGGAAAAGACGCAGUUGGGAGAGGGUUAUGAGGGUGGUGUCCUGCUCGCCGAUUGAGAGAGUCGGUGGUUGUCUCAGGUGAGAUGGAAGGCGUAGCAUGUUGCUUCGGGCUAAUUUCUCCCAACAAGUUGGUGUCUUGUAGCCUUUACUGAUCUCCUGUGAUCUGUCUGGUCCUGUUUUGUUGGUUAAAGUUAGGAGCUCCUUCUUUUGUCGUGGAAGUAUGUCGUCUCCUCUGCUCGCUCGCAAGGGCCGCCACCAACAGCGGUAUGACAACCAGCUCCGGCUUGUCGCAGGGUACUUCCAAAGCUCACAGUUUUAGAUCUCACUUUAACUUAUAUUACAUGUUGUUUUGGAUUGGAUGACUUCAAAGUUACUGUAGCAAUGCUCCAAUGAGAAAGAAGAAUCAUUUCUCUCAACCGCUCUUAGCUGGUUGUGUUAUGGUAUUCUUUAAAGCAAAAAAGCAGAUGAAGCUGGAAAAUAAGGCAUCCAUAGUGCACAAAGUUGACAGUGGAAGCCAUAAUGCUUGUGCUAUAAUCUAAUUCCAUGAAGUUAAAAAGUAAAAUUGUUGUUUGAUUGAGAGUGACAAUGUCUGAAGUAGUUGUGGCAAUAUGGAUGCUCCAGACCCAUCAGAUAUUGCAUUUAUGUGAUGUUCUGGUAUGGAUUCUGCUUCAUCUAAAAUAUUUGCCAAGGUUGUGUGCCAAAAGUAUAGUUGAUCUAUGUUUUUUCGAAACUAAAAUAGCAUAAAUUAUCAACCAGCAUAGUGGAUCAGUGCUUGAUUUCUCGUGUGUGUUCCUUUUGGGGCAGAUGUAUACCCUACAAGGUAAAAGCAGAUGACGGUAACCGAUCUGGUGAUCUGCUCGGCAGAGUGGAAGUCCUUAUGAUCACUUCUCCAGGUCGACUUGAUCUUGUCUUCCCGAAGGUGAGAAAAAGAAAUCCUUCUUCUUUUGGAUUUAGCAGAGCAAGAAGCUAUUUUUGGCUUGAAAUAUGUGUUUGAUUCGUCUGCUGCGACAGGGUGGAUGGGAGAUCGAUGAGACUGCAGGCGAAGCGGCAUGCCGCGAAGCUAUGGAAGAAGCAGGAGUGAAGGGAAUUUUGAAUGUAAGCAAUUCAAACUUUUUGUUUGAUGAGAUGAAGCUUGUCUGAUGAACAUACCUACUGUUCCAUUCAUCUAACAUCUUUUUCAUGAGAAAAUUCGUCGAAACUCCGAAAUCAUGAGUGAUUUACGACUAGAGAAGAACAAGGGUUCUCCUUUAAGUCUACUUUCAGUAGAUGAUUAUGCUUUCAUUCAAAACACCAAUAAAUUUACCAUUCUUGUGGGCCUUGCAAUUCCAUUUCUCAUAUCUGAUACAUGUUACAUCAUGGAAAAUAUUUUACUCCUGAAAUCUUUCUGGACCCUCACAUCAAUUGGAUUCUAGUAAGAUUAAAGUUCUGCUCUAUCCAACUAACACGCAUGUGAUGUGUUUCUUGUCUGCCUAACUCCUGCUGUUCCAAUAAGUUGGUGAUGAGAAUCUUAACCACUUAAACAAGUAAUUUUCCUUUUUUUUUUUUUUCUAGUGGGACAGUAGAAUGGUUUUUAGUCUUAUAUUAAAUAUAAUCACUUCCUGGAUAACAUAAUUACAUUGGAGUUAUAUAGCAUAUGUACUAAAUACUAAGUGGGUCAAGUUUACGACCGUCUGCAAUUUUUUGAUAGCAUUGUUAAGGGAGUUUAUGUAUGCCAAUGUACAUGAAGGUAGCAUUUUUUUAAAGUUGAAUUUCUACAGAAUUAAAUUAGGAGAGAAGAGAGAGAUCAUUUACUAUGUUUUUUCUUUUGUGAACUAGAAAUUCAUGAUUUUCUCCAUUUUAUAACCGAAACAAAUGAAGACCUAACUUUCGAGAUAGCUAUAUGACGAAUUUUCGAGUGAAGGUCUUUUUUGCAUUAAUCUUAUUUAAAUUACAUAAAAUUAUCUUGUUAAACACUUUUUUUCGAUCCCGAGAAGUGUGUCCUUGGUCUUCAUGGUUAUUGCUUCAUGAUCAUUAUGCAAUCUUCAUUGGUGUUUUUCUUUGUUUUGUCUUUCCAGGAUACAGACUUAGGUGUUUGGGAAUUUAGAAGCAAGAGCAGACAGAAUAGUUGUACCAUGGAAGGAACUUGCAAAGGUUACAUGUUUGCCUUGGAGGUCACCGAGGAGUUAGACUGCUAUCCGGAGAAGGAUAACCGUGAUAGGAAAUGGGUUAGUGUAUAAUCUACUCCACAUUAAUAAAGAUGCGGUAUCGACUUCAUCAUUUGAGAAACUAUAUACGUUUUUGUUCUUGCUUUCACCGAAAUAGGUGCCUUUGGGAGAAGCCUAUGAACUUUGUCGAUACGAUUGGAUGCGUGAAGCUCUUGAUUCGUUCAAAAACCUUCUGACAGAAAAACUUGUAUCUACUGUUCCCGACUUAUCGGUGUCGUCAAGCUUCUGCAUCGUAAAGCCUACUGCAGCUGAUCAUGCCAUAGCACUCUGCUGAUGGUUCCUCGUCCAUUCAAGCUAAAUCAGCAGCCGGUAGGAUUUGAAUAACACAUGUAAUUUUGUGAAGUACUUUCUGUGGCAGUCUCAAUCACAGGCAUAUCUUUAAGUUGCUAUUGUUAAGACCUUCCAGGUGAGUCCGGGCAUGUAAGCUAUAGGUCUGCCCCUGACAAAACUUGGAACAACCAAUGGCUGUGAUUGAGAAUCCAAGCCAAUUUUUAGGUAAGUUUGGUCACUCAGUUAUCCAUGUUACUGAUUGCAUUGUGACUCUGUUGUUCCUGAAAUGGAUGUCAAAUUGUCUAGCAAUAUCUUAUAUGUAUGCUGUAAGGUGCAUCAUAUUCAAUGGAGUUUCAUUCUUGGCUUUAGUAGGGCAAGUAAAUUAUGCAGAGCACAAAGAGAAAUAAUGACUUCAUAGGUGCCUUUGGGAGAAGCCUAUCAAAGUUCUUAGCCAAGUUCAGAUCGGAUCUUCUCUCUUCUUGAAACAGGCGAGGGUUUGGCCAUUAUGAAUUAAAACUAAAUCUACACUGCAACCUUAAUACACCUUUCAACAGUUCCAUGAACUCUCCCACAAAUAGAGCAGAUUCUAACAAGAAAUUUCAGAAACAUUACAUCAGGCAAUUUUCAGAAAUACUUGAAAUACUUUGGGGAGCAGUCCACCACGACGAAUAGCAGUGGAUCGCAAUUCUAAGUAAAUUCUUAUACUUGUGUUCCAGCAGCCUAAAAAUACCAUAGAAAUCAUUAAAUAAAACACCAGGUGAUAUUGAUGAAAAUAUAAUCUGGGUCUCUAAGAGCCUCAUUGUAAGGAAACAGAUUAUGGUACUCUACUCAUCUCUUCCAGACACGUCUCUUCCUCGAUAAGCAGGAGCUCCUCCUUGAUAAUUGCUUCCGCCUUGUUGAUAGUUUGGAUUGCCACCUUGGUAAGUAGAGCUGCCUGGCUGAUAACCAGAGAAGCCACCUUGAUAAGGUGGAUUACCUCCGUGAUGACCAGGGCUACCUCCUUGAUAUGCAGAGCCACCUCCAUGGUAACCUGCGUCACUGCCUUGAUAACCAACUCGACCUGGCAUAUUACCCCCAGGACUGCCACCCUGGUAUCCUUGAUAGCCUUGAACACCUCCUUGAUGGCUAGGACCAGCAUUUGGCACAUAACCUGGCAUAUUACCCCCAGGACUGCCACCCUGGUGUCCUUGAUAGCCUUGAACACCACCUUGAUGGCUAGGACCAGCAUUUGGCACAUAACCUGGCAUAUUACCCCCAGGACUGCCACCCUGGUAUCCUUGAUAGCCUUGAACACUUCCUUGAUGGCUAGGACCAGCAUUUGGCACAUAGGUGUUCUGAGGGUUAGGUGUUUGAUUCUGGUAGUUCAUCAUACCACCUGCGGUAGGUGGUGUAGCAUUGUAAUCAUGAUUAGGCAUCGGAGGAGCAUCUCUAGGAGGCAUAGGAUUCUGCGCAUUUGGUGGCAUGGCGUUCUGUGCAUUAUGAUUCUGAGAAUCCUGGUUUGCCAUUGGUGGAGGCCUAUUCUGGAAGUUUUGCAUGUUUUCCCUUCUCCUCUCAAAGUUCCUUGACCGAUCAAAGUUGCGAGGCCUGUCAUUCCGCCUCGAUCUCUCCUGUGCACGUGCAUUAUUUCUGACCCAUUCCUCAUGGUAUUUAGGGUCAUAAGGAACAGCUUUACCAUCUAUGAAUGGUUCUCCUGGUAUUUUCACCGAAAAAAAAGUGUCAAAGUUACUAGCCUUAAAUAGUAAUGCAUUUCCAGGAUUUGCAUGUAAAAGGAUCAGCUAAAGCAAAACAUUCACAAUAAAAAUGUAAGCAAGUCAUCGUUCUCUGCUUUUACUCUAAGAAACAAUGUCCAUCAUUCAGAAAAAGAACUAAUGCAGAACAAGAUGAACAAUUAAGAUCACCAAGAACCUGGCGUCUUGUUGUUAUCUUUGAUUGAAAUUGGCAAACCUGAAAACCUUAGAUUGUAGAGGCAUAAGAGCUUUUCACUUCGUUGUGUGAAAAGAAUUAUGGGCUCAAGACUAUAUCUGGUAAAAAUCCAAAUAUUCUGAAGUAAGCAAAUACAAUUCGUGCUCAUUUCUCUGCUAAUUUUAUCCUUUAAAUUUGAAUCAUAUAAUUUCUUUUACAAAAACCUAUUCAUCCCUACAAAAGCUUACAAAACCCACUGAAUUGGACCAAAUAUGACUAACAGUUAGCUAACUUCAACAGACUGGCAAUGCUUCUAACCAAAUUGUUAAGUUCAAAGCAAACUCAACCAAAUUAAAUAAUGUCAACUCAUCCCAUUCUUCCUCACCAUUCCUGGGCCAAACCCUGAUCAGUUCUCAUCCAAUGAUCUAAUUAGACCAACCCAUAUCAGCCCCCGAGUUUGUCAUUAACGAGGUUAGGGUCCAAUGUGACAUUACAUAAAAAUGUUAACCGUGGCUUUCAUUAACCACAUUACCUUCUUAUUCCUAUCAGUUCUAUUACAUGCCCAUCUACGCUUAAAUGUCAUACUGAACAGAUUGAGGGAAUGCAAUGCAAGAGCACAGAUGUCCAGAAAAGAUACUAGCCAAAAAGGAAAGUUAAAAACCAUGUCCCACACUCCAGAAUAAACAAAUGGAGAAUUGAGAUACAAUAUCCAAUCAUAUCAUAGUCACAAGCUGAGAGACUGCAUGUUAAUCUACUAUGAGAGACCGCAUGUUAAUAUACACUUUAUAACUUUAGGUUCUUCAAAGAAAAGAGAGGGAAGAAGGGAGAGGUGAAAGAAAAGGGAAAAGAGUGAAACAGGUUAUUUUGGCCCUUACCACCAUAAUCUUUGUUCUUUACAUCCAAAUAUGAAUCAGGGAGAACCCAGCGGACCUUUGGCAAAGCUGCAUUAUGAGCAGAAAUAAGUGGAACGAAUACAUAUUUAAAUACACAUAUAUAAGAACAACUAAAUAGAUCGGACAUACGCUUGAUCUUGUACGAGAUCUCUUCAGAAACCUUACACCCAAAAGCGAAGUAGUGCUUUGUUGACACUGAAUAUAUUGACAUCCUUGCUUCCUCUUCACUGUAACACGAUGCCAAUUAUCGGACCAGCAGAAGAGCCAAGAAACCAACAAAUAAAACAGUGAUUCAAAUGCUAUAGAUAUACUUAAUCCAACUAAAAAGUGAUUUAUGCAAUAUUGUCCAGAGAAAAACAUAGACCUUAACUGCACAAUUCAUUAACAAAAGUGACUUAUGCAAGUCAUUAAGGACUCAAUCCGCACAAUUAAGAGAAGCUGAAGUUGAAGCUAAACUUAGAUCCUUCAAACAGUUGACAUAAAUCCAACAUUAUUGCCUUUAACCACUUUUAUCUAUUAUCCCCACAUUAAUCUGAAAGAUAAAAGAGCAAAAACCUCAAACCAACGCCAAGAAUUGAUCUUUACAGUACUAAUAGAAAGAGUAAUAGGAACUAAAGCGGAAAAAAAAGGGGGGGGGAGAAAGCUUACCUUCCGAGAACCUCGGCCAGGGUCUUGAUGUAACUGUCGAUGAUCUCAUCCCGGGUAAGGGAAGGAUCCGGAGGCUCCACGACGACGAGCCAGUGCUCGAAGUCGCAGCCGUCGAGGAGGAUGGUCUCCUUAGGGGGGCGGUUGCUCCAGUUCGGCGACGGAUCAUUAAGGGACGAUGUGGUGGGCCUGGUGGAGAAGCAUCGGGUCCCGAGGCCUGAUGCGCUGUGGCGGAGCGGGUAACUGGCAGCGGCGAGGAGGGGGCGGAGACGGAGCAAAGGGGAAGAGCGGGCGGGGGGGAGCGCGAGAGCUCGAGAGGAGAGUAGAGGGGAAAGGGACAUGGAGUGAAGCCUCAAGAUGAACGUUCGCCCCGACAUCACCGGAAAACCUAGAAAUCUCAGCUGGAGAAUGGAGUGGCCUUAAAGGCGAGGGGGGCUUGGACGAGGGUUUUAUCGCCGAGACGGGGGGAUGACGGUCACGUGUCAUAAGCAUGACGACCGGAUUGAGUCGGAAACAGGCCGGGCUUAGGUUGAAUUGAACCGGAGGGCUAAAUUCACAAGAACCGCAUGGCCCAAUAGACCAUCUGUAGGUUUUGGAUGCGCAGUAGCUUCUGCCGGCCACAUUGUUGUAUCCAAAAACUAUGGUUCCAAUCACUAACUACAAAUUUGACAUUGAUCCGCAGUAGCUUCUUCAUUAAGCAUUUGAAGAAGCUAUCCUUUCCUAGCUGAAGCGGAACCCCCAUGGAGGAGACCCCGCGAGGUGUGCUCGAAUGGGUAGUAAACUUGGAGUUCCACAACGGCGCCGAUGAUAGAGAAAGUUGCAAUGUGAGUCACAGUGACCUUUCUUAUUCCACCGAGCUAGUGGCUAGUGGAAGAGAACGAGUGGGGGAGAAUUAGCUUCAUGCGAGGGAAUUUUGUCCUGGGAAAGUGAUGACUGGGACGAAGCAAGGAGGGUUGAGGAGGGAGCUUAAUUUGCAGGGGGACAAAGCAGAAGAGGAGCGUGGGACGUUCUGGGAAUAUGGUCCUGAUUGCAGCAGUUUCGGUUCGGCAGACAAGUCUGGGGGUGUCAGUGAGGAAGAAGGGGAUGAUUUACCCAGUGGAAUGAGAUGCUCUGUUUCUUUGGUUAGUGUUGUUUGCCGUCACAAAAAUGGACGAAAAGUUCACGGAAUUCCAUGUUCAAUCAACAGCAACAAAAAUUGAACUUGAGACCUCCUCCAUUUAACAGUAGUUUGCAUCACUUGUGUGCCAUGAAGAAACAGAGCAUGUCAUUCCACUGAGUAAAUCAUGCAGUCAUCACUCCCAUGCCAAAACUAGCUUCGUUACUUCUAAUCAUCACUUUGGCUAGUUUGGACUAUGUCAAAACAGAGCACAUCCUCCCAGGCCAAAACAGGUCAUGUCAGCCUAGUCCAUGCCAAAGUGAUGACAGGGAGGAAGUAAUGAACGCACGUCCACCACAUCCAUGGAUCAUUCCUUCCAUCGUCUAUUAAUUUUUAAUCUUAUUUAAUCAUAUAAAAUUAUUUUUUUUAAUUUUAUUUUAAUAUUAUUUUUUAUGAUAGUAUGAAUAGUAUUUUUCGUCAAUAAAAUCAAAGCGAAUAACUAAAAUAAAAUUUGACUUUAACUUUCUUGAUCUGGAAGUAACUUUCAUCAACUAGCACUAUUAUGAAACAUUAUGAGUAAUUAGUUAGAUACAUUGAUUUUAUAUUUAAAAUAUUUACUAAUCCAUUUUGAAUCAACUAUAUCCACAUAUACAUGCAUUUAUGCAGAUAUCAUCUUUCAUUUACAUGAGAUAAAUAUCUAUAUUAACAUCCAGGAAAUAAAUAGAUAAGAGUAAGUCACACCGGGUCUAGACAAUCUUUUUUUUUUUUUGUACAUGAAGAAAUAAAAAAAAUCAUUGCAAUUGUUGCAAAUACUAAGCCCACUAAAAGCAUAAAAAUAGAGGGUAAGGUAUGAUCUGAAUUUGUGCCUCAAUUUAAUAUAACACAGUGUUGCUAUAGUAUUGCUAUAGUAUCGGACCGGUAAUAUAUGGUCCACGUACCGAAAGCCUAUCGGACGGUACAGUCCGGUACUAUAGACCAUGCUCCAAAUAUCUUUGAUUUCAAUAUUAGUGAAACUAUAAUUACCAUUAUGAUUCUAACUAAGAAUCUUUUUCUUGUAUCAUUUAGAAUAGGUUAUUAACUUCUACUAGUAUAUCUAAUACCAUCAAGACUAUCUAUAAUUUAUUUAGCUCACACUUAUGUUCUAACUUCUCGUUAGACAACAUUGAAUCGAACCACCAUUUUCAAAUAGAGUCUUUCUACAUAAUUAAGCAUACGAAUCUAAUCCUAAUCAUUAGGAUUGUUAAUUAAUAACGAGUAAGUAUUGAAAGAAAUGAUUCUUUUUUUAGGAAGCCGAGGUAUCAUUUCAAUAUAUAUUGAUAUAAUCUUUUUAUCGAAAAUAGAGAUAGUUAUUUAUUUUUAUAAAUAAAAAAUAAAGAAUUUAUUCUUGUAUAAUCAAAUAAUUAAGUUUCUAUUUUAACAUGGAACGAAAAAAACAAUUUAUAGGAUGGAUAAUAGAGUCUUUCGCUUAGCUUGAUCUUGAUCUAUGGCUUGAAAUUAGGAGAUAUAGAAAAGUCCACCAAUCUUAAGGAUCCAUAAUUAAUCCAAUCCUAUGGAUCCAAUAACAAAUAAUAGAAGUAUCAGGUUGUUUAGUAUUUGAUCUUUUAUAUAUAUGAUGAGAGUAAUAAUGACGACAAGACUCGGGUUGAGGUCAGCUGCCCCAGAUAACACUUCGGCUGACUUGACACCACUUGGUCAAAUGGAUCUGAACACCCACCGAGGCACAUUAAACAUCCUGCUCAGGCUCGAUCCUUCACGCCACGACAACACUAGUGUUAGACGCUACCAGCCUGCCCCCUGCAAGCGGGCACAUCAGGAAACAGUAAGCUUCCCUAUAAAUACCCUCGCAUUCUGAAGGAGAAAGUGGGGGAAACACACACACAAAAGACAUCUUCACUUCAUCUGACAUGAUCGUCGAAGGGGUCGGGUCGAGCAUCUCGACCCGACCUUUGUGCAGGUGCGAAGCCGAAGGUCCCCCCGAACGUGCAGGCGAUGAGUUCUUGCCCGGAGGAACCGGCAACCCUGUCCCGAUCGGACCACCAUAAUCGGCCACCUCAGCGAACUCGAAGACCGUCCCGAGAAGAUCCCCCGUCAUCCGGACUCAAACCGAACCGUGUCGGCCCCGAGGCCAUGACUAUAUAUAUAUAUAUAUAUAUAUAUAUAUAUGCAAAUACGAGCUUAUACACAAAUAGCGACUAGUUCAUGGUUCCAUUUGCUUGCUUCACGGAUAAUUUCAUUACAUUCACGAGCAACAUCAAGUCCCUCAUUACGAGCUUAUACACACAUUUCUAAAGCCAUCAUAUUAGCUACUGCAUCAGGUGUAUUUCCCCAAGGGUGUCCUAAAGUUCCUUUGUCAAAUUGUAGUACGGAAUUAAUUAUCCACAAAGAUUUCGGUCAAAGCAGUCAUGUGCCAAACGUGAAUACCCCCUAAAGUCACGGGCAAAACACUUGACAUACAGAUCUAUUCUUGAGUGAAGAAAAUAGUGUGACUUCGAUCUUUUUCAAUAUAAUGAUCACGUAAUAAAUCAACGAAACUUAAAGUCAUCUCACCUUAACCACUGAGCGUGAAGAGAAAAUAUUUCAUUUUCAUAAUUAAAGAAACCUUAACCUUAAAUACGAAGUUAGAUAUUUCAUUUUGGUAACUAAAGAAACCUUUACCUUAAAUGUAACUAAUAUAUAAUUAACCACAAACUUUACGUCAAAAUUACACUGAGUAUAUAUAUUUGGUUCAAAAACACUUGCGGAGGUUCCCUAACCCAUAGACUUCCUCGUCCUUCGUGGCUCUCUUGUAGGCUUGAACUAUGGGACCCACAUAGAAACGUACAUUGAGGAAGUACGACAAUAACGUGUUUGACGAAACAGAGUUUAUUAAGCACAAUGGAACAUAACACUACAUGACGUUUCUCCCACGCCUUCAGCACGAUAAAUAGUAGGGUUUGAUGUUGUAGUUACAGACAACUUCAUAGCCAAAUAAAUCCACACCGACGGAUAUCAAUAGCAGUAGCCACACAACCAGUUACAGGGAGAUUCACGUGAUGGAAGGAAAAGCUUGCGUCACUUGUCAGCGAUGGGGAUGCUGUGCAAGACCACAGUCUCCACCGUGAGCCCGGGACCGAACCCGAAGAGGACGCCCCACUCCAGCCCCUCGCCGGUGGUCGCCUUUCCGUCCUCGGCCGACCGUUUCCUCAUCUCGUCCAGGAUGAACAGCACGGUGCCGCUCGCCAUGUUCCCGUACUCUUUCAGCACCUCCCGCGUAGCCUUCAUCUUCUCCUUCUCCAAGCCGAGCAUGGCCUCUACCUGGUCGAGGAUCGCGGGCCCUCCGGGGUGCGCAAUCCAGAAUAUGGAGUUCCAGUCGCUGAUCCCCAGCGGCUUGAAUGCCUCCACCAGGCUCCGCUCGAUGUUCUUGGAGAUAAGGACCGGCACGUCCUUGAGCAGAUGGAAGAUGAGGCCGACCUCCCGCAGGUGGCCGUCGACGGCGCCCUCGGAGUCGGGGAGGAGGGUCUGGCUGGCGGAGACUAGCUGGAAAAUCGGCUGCUCCGUUGCGGGGUCGGGGUCGGCGCCGACGAUGAUGGCGGCGGCGCCGUCGCCGAACAGGGCCUGCCCAACAAGGUUGUCGAGGUGGGACUCCGAGGGCCCGUGGAAGCUGAGAGCGGUGAUCUCGGAGCAAACCACGAGCACCCGGGCGCCGCGGUUAUUCUCGGCCAGGUCCUUGGCCAUGCGGAGCACCGUGCCGCCCGCGAAGCAGCCCUGCUGGUACAUCAUGAACCGGUUGACGGAGGGUCGGAGCCCAAGGAGUUUGGUAAGCUGGAAGUCGGCGCCAGGCAUGUCGACGCCGCUGGUGGUGCAGAAGACGAGAUGGGUGAUCUUGGACUUGGGCUGCCCCCACUCCUUGAUGGCCUUGACCGCCGCCUCCUUGCCUAGCUUCGGCACCUCCACCACCACGAUGUCCUGCCGAGCGUCCAGCGACGGCGCCAUGUACGCGCAGAUGUUAGGGUUCUCCUUCAGGAUCUCCUCGUUGAGGUGCAGAUAACGUUUGCGGAUCAUCGACGUGUUACCUGAACAAGCAUGCAGUACAGGGAUCAAAACUAGGACUUCAUCUUUGGAUCACACACUUGUCCCUCGAACCAGCAUGCAGUGCAAAGACCACGAUUACACAAGAACAACUUCGUCUCUUUUAUUAACUAUGUCAUGCGAAUUCACGUAUCAUGUUCAUGUUUUAUUCUUUUAUUUAUUGAACAGUUGUAAUUAUCGCAGGAACAACUAAACCAGUCAGAGGAGGCCUUUUCUUUUUCGUCUCUCUGGUAACAAAUAUAAAGGCGCAGGUCGAAUUUAUUUGUUAGGGAAGAGGGAACCUAAGAAAUGAAUGGCACUUUAGAUUAAAGAAACGGCACGUACACAUUCUCUUGAACUUUUCCUUGAGUUUAGUGAGGUGCUCGCUCUUGGUGAUGCGAAAGUAGUAGUCCGGGUAGUCGGCCUGGUACAUGACGUUGACAGGGGUGGCGGUGCCGAUGGCAAGCACCGUCGCCGAACCCUCUGCCCUCUGCGAUUGCCUGAUCUCCGCCAACUUGGCCAUGAGCUAGAAGUGGGAGCAGGACCAAGUAUUAGGUCGAUCGAAGAGUUGAUGGUUCGGUCCGGAGAUGAGGAGGCGGGAGAUAUAUAGCGGUGGCUGGUUGGGUUGAACGGACGAGCAGAUGGGAAGCGACGAGGAGCAGAGAAUGAUUGGUGGGAGGCUAGGCACAGUGACCAACAUGCGGGUGACCACCUCCUCUUUCCGUCAGCUGAAAACUUAACCUGUAAACUCCGACUCCAUGCAUUUAUUCAUCUCUCAUCUGCCGCGCGCACACCUCGUGGCCUUCUGGUUGUCGCAGACCAGAAGGCGAUCGAGCGCCCCGUCAACGGGUAGAGGAAGAGCCCCUCUUUCUCUGAUCUCGGAAGAUGCACUUCGCCGUGAAGGGUCGGAUCGAGACUCGAGAAGCAGUGACACCGCGCAAGGGGAAGGCACUUCGCCUCCCUUCCACCGGUGUGCGUCGCGUCCGUCGUUCAUACGUAAAAUCUGCUAAGUGGGCCUUGAAAUAAAUCCUCCGCAUCCACUUAGUCAAAUGACUUGGACGACGCAUACUUGGUUAAUCCGCCUUGGACGCCAAAUCACCCAUGACUGCCCAAGGCCAGAUAAUUCAUGACGUUGGAAGUGUCAGGUGGUUGCCAGGUGCUUUUGAUGAAGAAUGUGGGAGACCCGACAGGAGCCAGAACUUUAGCCACCCACAAAUGAAAGACUUGGUAAGCUACUUAAUUUAACUAUAACAACUGGUCCUCCGUACCUAAUUUUGCUACCUACCUUCUAUUUCAUCACAAUUGGUGUCGCAUUCGUUCAUAAAUAAUAUUAUAAUUUGAUUUACUGUUCUUCCACUCUUUGUGUACUAUGAGAUUUUUUUUUUUUUUUCAAGAGAUUUGGUCGGAACCAUUUUAACUGUUUGUGUACUCGCGAAAAGUAUUGUUUUUUUGUUGAACAUUGCAUAUCAUUGAAUUUUUUGAAAUGAGAAAAAAUGUUAAUUAGAAAUUCCAACAUGAUACAAUCAUCAUAAUUUAAACAUAAAACAUAUAUUUUUAAAAUUACACGUAUUUUUCAUAGAACUUUAGAAGACAUUACAAAAUUAAUAUUAAUUUUGCUUUUAACAUAAGUAAGCUUCACAACGAGCCGAUACAGGCUGGAGUGCGCCGGCCCCGAAGCGCGUCACAGGCCGCUGGUCCGUGCACAGCACGUGUCAACCUGUGCUGUGAUCCCACAUGUUUUCCAUACUCUUGAUGAAGUCCGAUUAACGCGUGCGGUCGCUCGUAGCCCGAUCCUACGGCUGAAAUACGUUUAUGUUCCAUAUAAUUUCCAUUCAAUUUGGGGAUCCGUCUCCCGUUGCCGCUCUUAACCCCGCGACAACGGGUUUCCAUCGCCGCCGAAGGCUUAGACGAGCUGGUACGCUCGCCGAUCUCGAUAUGUCUCUUUCGAACAUGCUGAGUCUGGUUAUUAUUACUGUUUAUUUUCUUUUUCCGAUGGUGUCGUGGAUGAUUAGGUCGUACCGAAUGAUAUUUGUUGGUGAACAGAUGUGAUGUUGCUGGUGAGUCAGCACGGCUUGGUCCAUGGGUCAAUGUCGGGAGUCUUCUGUUGAUUGAGCUGGAUGCCGAGGUCGAUCAGACUCUCACGACGGGGUAUUGAUCAACAUUCUUUGUAUGCCGAUCCGGGCACCGUGUAUGCUGAGUUACGUCUCUCCUUCUUCGGGGUGGCUGGCAGCUCGCCUUUGUGAGGUGGCCGAGUUUUCCUGCAAAAAUGACCCUCGUCGGGAUCACUCGACGAGACCCCUCCGACAAGCAAGUUAGUGGAGUGAUCAAUUGAUUUUUUUUUCCCCCCUCUGCUAGAUGCUGGCUAUAGGUCUUUAUAGUACUACACGUGGGUCGAUCAUACGUGGGUUGGCGUGGUAGACAUGUCAAACAAUGUCUUGGUACGGAUUCUGACUUGGCGUAUCUCAGGAGCGGCUCUGCUCGAGAUUCCCAAGAUAUGACAUGCCGAGUAAUAUCCUAGUACGAAUUCUGACCGUGGUCGAUGGCGUCGGACUCUGAUGUGUCGUGGGCCAAAAUAUAUCGUAUCAAUAUUGAUCUACUCAAUCCCCUGAGAAGAGAGGCACAAACUCAAGCGUCUCGUUCAAUCUCCCAACUCCUUCUUCAAGGUGAUCCCCGAUUCGUUUCAUCAAGUUCUUUAGUUUUCCUCACUUCCGCGUAAUUUUCGGUUCUGAUUGAUGUUUCUUUCUUCUGGUCUAUGUUGUAGGAGGAUGUGAAAUGUCAAGGAUGCUUCAACGUGUAAGUUCUGCUGUUGAUCACUGCAUUUAAUGAUGAUCUCCUGUUGUUCGUAAUUUUUUAUGGUUCUUGAAGCUUUCAUUGAUUGGAUGCCGCACAACUACGGUGUUUAGCCACUCGCAGACUGUGUUGUGGUUUGCGGAAAUUGCCAGACCGUUCUGCGCCAGCCGACUGGCGGGCGUGCAAGGCUCACCGAGGGCCGCUCUUUCCGACGAAAAGGCGAUCGAGCCUCUCUGUGCGCUUUUCUUCCUUUCUCUUGGUAAAUCUUUAAGAAGCUUGGAAUCAAAUUUAUACGUGAGUUUUAAUUCGGUGCUGUUUUAGUUGUCAGUAACGAGAAGACGUAACACAAAUGAUGCUUUUUACUAGGGUUUUAUCGCCGAGACAGGGGGGUGACGGUCACGUGCCAUAAGCAUGACGACCGGAUUGAGUCGGAAACAGGCCGGGCUUAGGUUGAAUUGAACCGGAGGGCUCAAUUCACAUGAUUCGUCUGGCCCAAUAGACCAUCCGCAGGUUACGGAUGCGCACACUUCAUGUGUUGCUCUGCAAAGCCUCUAAAAUAUUUAUAAUAAUUUCUCAAUUUUACAGCAACAUCUUUAUUUGUAUUUUCAUGGAAAUAUCCACAUCUUUUAAUAGAGUAAGUAGUGGCUUUAAACAAAUAAGAGAAAAGAAGUUGAUGGAAUUUUGACUGCUGUUUCUGAUAUGACCGAUAUGCUAUAUGAACCGAUGGACUAGAAUUUGCUCGAUAGUGAUCGAUAGUGAUCACUAUUUUCUGUAACGCAUUUUUCCGAACACAUUGUGAUCAAUAGUGAUCCAGCACGAUGCGUCUGUAAUGGCGACUAGAAUUUGCUCGAAUUCCAUAGAGCAUUGACAGCUAAAAUUUGCAGUUUUAUCAACAAAAACAAAGAUAUGAUCCAUAAGAAGAGAUUGAUUUCUACUGCAUAUAGAACAUAUCCAAAACCUAUUUACAGAGCACAUACUUCGUCUUCUUCUACAUAGCCCUCUUCCUAGUGCAACACCUCACAUAAAUGAUAUCACAAUCUAUCUGAAGUCUCAGUAUCCGUCAAAAUUUUACUUCAUCCAAAUAAAUCUGUAGUUUGGAAGAUUAGAAAGGAACAGAGGAAAGGAAGAGAACAACCAACAAACACAUCGAACACAUUAAUUAUUGAUACAAUAGGAACAUAGUAGUACCUUAUCUCAAGCACAAAGUACAAAAAAAGUUGCAUUAUUGAUACAAUAGAAUGAGACUUUGUAACAUGUUUGAUGCUUCUACCGCAUCACCAUGUCCCAACAAGAACAGAGCUCUUUACAAGUCUCAGGGACCGUCUUUACUGAAAUCCUAUAGCACCAUAACAUCAACAGCAGAGAGAGAGAGAGAGAGAGAGAGAGAGAGAGAGAGAGAGAGGCUUAGCCUCCCUUUUGCCUAUAUGACUUGCCUCUGUAGCUUCAGUUCAUGUCUUCCUCCUCUAUCUCUGGGGAGCUAGAGGAUGACAAGCUCCUUAUGGAUCAGUUUCUUCCUCUUCCUCCGCAUCUUUAGAGAGGACGAAGUCAAAACAGGAACCAGUCGAGCUCAAGUUCCCAUUCCUUCUCUCUCUCUUCUUUGUCAUGAAUUCUACAUCCUCCACACACUCCUUAUACUUCUUCGCAUCAUAAAACGAUGGAUAUCAACUACUUUACAGCACCAAGACGCUCUCGCCGUGGAUUCGCGGAUCUCGUCACCCACUUGAUCUUGGAUAAUGGAUGACGAUGCGACGCUGAAAACAUGGUCAAGUUUUGUUUACUAAGCACGGGGAGCUGCGAUGGAGACCAUCGAAGCAGCACACAUGGCUCCCAUAACCAAAAGCUAAAGAUCAUUCGAGUCACAAAGUGCAGGUUUUGGAGGACAACGCGAGGUGGGAUGCUUUUAGAAAGCAAGGCGAGUGACGAUUAAUUAGAUAUCAGAAACAAGGUGGUGUGGGUGUAUGAUUGGAUAAGGUAGGAAAUUGCUUAUGAGCUUAAACCAAUAAAGACAUGCAAC
rnacentral:lncRNA from 1 species